rnacentral:rRNA from 1 species
AUUCCAGCUCCAGUAGCGUAUAUUAAAGUUGUUGCAGUUAAAAAGCUCGUAGUUGGAUUUCUGGCUUGAGACGCCUGAGCCGCCAGGGUUACCUGUGUGAGUCUCGGUGUGUCUCUGCCAUCCUUCUGGAUAGCGUGUCUACCUUUUAUUAGGCCGGGCUCGUGCUCCAGAUCUUUUACUUUGAAAAAAUUAGAGUGUUUAAAGCAAGCUUGCGCUAUGAAUACAUUAGCAUGGAAUAAUAACUUAGGACUUUGGUUCUAUUUUGUUGGUUUCUAGGACUGAAGUAAUGAUUGAUAGGGAUAGUUGGGGGUGCUAGUAUUCAGCGGCCAGAGGUGAAAUUCUUGGAUUCGCUGAAGACUAACUUAUGCGAAAGCAUUCACCAAGGAUGUCUUCAUUA